UUAGAGUUUGAUCCUGGCUCAGGACGAACGCUGGCGGCGUGCCUAACACAUGCAAGUCGAGCGAAUGAAGUUCCUUCGGGAACGGAUUUAGCGGCGGACGGGUGAGUAACACGUGGGCAACCUGCCUCAUAGAGGGGAAUAGCCUUCCGAAAGGGAGAUUAAUACCGCAUAAGAUUGUAGUACCGCAUGGUACAGCAAUUAAAGGAGUAAUCCGCUAUGAGAUGGGCCCGCGGCGCAUUAGCUAGUUGGUGAGGUAACGGCUCACCAAGGCGACGAUGCGUAGCCGACCUGAGAGGGUGAUCGGCCACAUUGGAACUGCCACACGGUCCAAACUCCUACGGGAGGCAGCAGUGAGGAAUAUUGGUCAAUGGGCGAAAGCCUGAACCAGCUAUGUAGCGUGAAGGAUGACUGCCCUAUGGGUUGUAAACUUCUUUUGUUCGGGAAUAACAGACUUCACUUGUGGAGUUUUGCAUGUACCGUUUGAAUAAGGAUCGGCUAACUCCGUGCCAGCAGCCGCGGUAAUACGGAGGAUCCUAGCGUUAUUCGGAUUUAUUGGGUUUAAAGGGAGCGUAGGCGGGGGGUCAAGUCAGCUGUGAAAUACGUACGCUUAACGUUCGUCUUGCAGUUGAAACUGGUUUUCUUGAGUGCGUAUGAGGCAGGCGGAAUUCGUGGUGUAGCGGUGAAAUGCUUAGAUAUCACGAGGAACUCCUAUUGCGAAGGCAGCUUGCUGGUCCGCUACUGACGCUGAUGCUCGAAGGUGCGGGUAUCGAACAGGAUUAGAUACCUUGGUAGUCCACGCCGUAAACGAUGAUCACUGGGUGCCGGCGACACACCGUCGGUGCCUGAGCGAAAGCAUUAAGUGAUCCACCUGGGGAGUACGAUCGCAAGGUUGAAACUCAAAGGAAUUGACGGGGGCCCGCACAAGCGGUGGAGCAUGUGGUUUAAUUCGAUGCAACGCGAAGAACCUUACCCGGUCUUGACAUCCGUAGGAUCCUUCAGAGAUGAGGGAGUGCCUUUCGGGGAACUACGAGACAGGUGCUGCAUGGCUGUCGUCAGCUCGUGUCGUGAGAUGUUGGGUUAAGUCCCGCAACGAGCGCAACCCCUGCAUCCAGUUGCCAUCAUUAGGUUGGGGACUCUGGAUGGACCACUGCGGUAACAACGCAGAGGAAGGUGGGGACGACGUCAAGCAAUCAUGGUCCUUACGACCGGGGCUACACACGUGCUACAAUGGUAGUUACAGAGGGUUGCGAAGCCGUAAGGUGGAGCUAAUCUCAUAAAAGCUACGCAAGUUCGGAUUGAGGUCUGCAACUCGACCUCAUGAAGCUGGAAUCGCUAGUAAUCGCGCAACAUCAUGGUGCGGUGAAUACGUUCCCGGGCCUUGCACACACCGCCCGUCAA
rnacentral:rRNA from 1 species